GACGAACGCUGGCGGCGUGCUUAACACAUGCAAGUCGAACGGAAAGGCCCUGCUUUUGUGGGGUGCUCGAGUGGCGAACGGGUGAGUAACACGUGAGUAGCCUGCCCUUGACUUUGGGAUAACUUCAGGAAACUGGGGCUAAUACCGGAUAGGAGCUCCUGCUGCAUGGUGGGGGUUGGAAAGUUUCGGCGGUUGGGGAUGGACUCGCGGCUUAUCAGCUUGUUGGUGGGGUAGUGGCUUACCAAGGCUUUGACGGGUAGCCGGCCUGAGAGGGUGACCGGCCACAUUGGGACUGAGAUACGGCCCAGACUCCUACGGGAGGCAGCAGUGGGGAAUAUUGCACAAUGGGCGGAAGCCUGAUGCGGCAACGCCGCGUGCGGGAUGACGGCCUUCGGGUUGUAAACCGCUUUCGCCUGUGACGAAGCGUGAGUGACGGUAAUGGGUAAAGAAGCACCGGCUAACUACGUG
rnacentral:rRNA from 1 species